rnacentral:lncRNA from 1 species
GACCGGUGAUGUACUGAUCAUUGCUCAUCGGAGGGGUAAGCACACUGAGACACAAUAUUUAACGUGGUUCGGCAAAUUGCCUACAUCCACGGGAGAGGUUCAUUUUAUUUAGAGAUAGAGAAAGAAUACAACACAUGGAGGAGGAUCACAUCCACUCAACUCCCAUCUCUCAUUGCUACAUGGCAGCAGCUGCUUAAGCAGCAGGGCUGCUGAUGGCAGCCCUUCUCUUUCUUUCUCUUUCUUCUCUCUACAUGUCUCACAACUCUCACACUUUGCUCUCUAAGAUCAUGCCUCUUUUAUAGGCAUCAAUGGCAGCUCCUCUUGCUCCUUUGUCAUCAAUGGUGGCUGCCAAACUCAUCUCUUCUUCAACAAAGGUGGCUGCCACUUCUUCCUUCUUCAACAAUGGUGGCUACCAAAGUCAAGGUUGGUGGUUGCCACCAACAAGCCUCCUUCUUUGACAAUGUCAACAUAAUUGGCAAUAUUCCAACAAUCACCCCCUUUGCCAUUUAUGUGGGCAAUUGUCAUCUUGCUUCUUCAGCACACGCUUCUGGAGCGUUCUGAAAUGAGGCUCCUUUCAUGGCUCACACCUUCUCUAAGGUGUCUCCGUUUGUCGUUAUGCGACGGUCUAAACUAGGGCUCCUAUCAUGGCCAUAGUUUGGCACAUAUAAUUGGGUAAACAUGUGCACCUUCUUCUUCUUCAUCUCCAUCGACCACCAUGAUGACCUUUAGAUGCCUCCUGAUCGGGCAAUCUCUCUUUAAUAAUUCACCACUGUCAUUUUCGGUCUCAAAUCUCAAAGAUCGGACCAUACCAUUGCAUCCGGAAUGAUCAAAUUAGCUGGAAACAUGUCUUGAAUCGUCCAAAUCGCACUUCAGACGGCUAAGAUUUGAUCAAAACAAUUCUGGCCUGAUAAACGACUCAGAUUCAAUCUCAGAUCCGGUUGCACGUAGGAUCCGCUACACUGGAUCCUAUCCCUCGGCUCGCGGCUCGGCUCGGCUCCAACUCAGCUCGGCUCCACUCGGCUCAGCUUGGCUCGGCUCGCGGCUGAUGACAUGGCAGGUGGGUCCUGCUAUGCUGACAUGUUAGUUGACUAGUCAAUUGACUUGCUGACUGUGUAUGUGAUGUCAUCCUUGCAUCAUGAUGACGUCAUCCUUUGCAUGGCACUGUUCAUGAUACGUCACUGUUCAUGUCUACUGUUCACAUGGGUCGGGUCAACUCAUCCGGGUGAAGAAGACGCGUGGGGCGCGUUGGCGCGCGUGGGUAGACGCCUUGCCGGAGAGUGAUGGAGAGUGCGGCCAUGUCCGACGUCCGAUUUUGACGCCGUUUUCACCAGUGGCUUCGUAUCGUCCUCCUCUACACGGUGGGAUGGUCAAAACACAAAUUUUGACAACUUUCAUUUUUGAGCAAAGAUCAAACACCACUUUAAACCAAAAAGCUCUGAUACCAUUUGAUUGGGCGGAAUCCGGGACCGGUGAUGUACUGAUCUUUGCUCAUAGGAGGGUUAAGCACACUGAGACACAAUAUUUAACGUGGUUCGGCAAAUUGCCUACAUCCACGGGAGAGGUUCAUUUUAUUUAGAGAUAGAGAAAGAAUACAACACAUGGAGGAGGAUCACAUUCACUCAACUCCCAUCUCUCAUUGCUACAUAGGGCAGCAGCUGCUGGUGGCAGCAGGGCUGCUGAUGGCAGCCCUUCUCUUUCUUUCUCUCUUCUUCUCUCUACAUGUCUCACAACUCUCACACUUUGCUCUCUAAGAUCAUGCCUCUUUUAUAGGCAUCAAUGGCAGCUCCUCUUGCUCCUUUGUCAUCAAUGGUGGCUGCCAAACUCAUCUCUUC